GUUCUGCAGACGGCAUUCCAGCAAUCUCAAGGCAGAUGGGCCGUUCCUCCAACACUUGAAAAUGAUUUUGCAGAAGAUGUGCCAGCUGCUCCAUCCUGGAGCUUGGAGCUUCGAUCAAGCACCAAGAUAACAGAGAAUUAUUAAGCAAACAAACAGUCUAUAGUACUUUUGACAAGCCUGAACUCCUCUGUGAAGUCACUAAUGACAUUUGUUUUUCG
rnacentral:misc_RNA from 1 species